UAGGGAAUCUUCCGCAAUGGGCGAAAGCCUGACGGAGCAACGCCGCGUGAGUGAUGAAGGUCUUCGGAUCGUAAAACUCUGUUAUUAGGGAAGAACAAAUGUGUAAGUAACUAUGCACGUCUUGACGGUACCUAAUCAGAAAGCCACGGCUAACUACGUGCCAGCAGCCUCGGUAAUACGUAGGUGGCAAGCGUUAUCCGGAAUUAUUGGGCGUAAAGCGCGCGUAGGCGGUUUUUUAAGUCUGAUGUGAAAGCCCACGGCUCAACCGUGGAGGGUCAUUGGAAACUGGAAAACUUGAGUGCAUAAGAGAAAAGUGGAAUUCCAUGUGUAGCGGUGAAAUGCGCAGAGAUAUGGAGGAACACCAGUAGCGAAGGCGACUUUCUGGUCUGUAACUGACGCUGAUGUGCGAAAGCGUGGUGAUCAAACAGG
rnacentral:rRNA from 1 species